rnacentral:rRNA from 1 species
CCUACGGGUGGCAGCAGUAGGGAAUAUUGCUCAAUGGGGGAAACCCUGAAGCAGCAACGCCGCGUGGAGGAUGAAGGUUUUCGGAUUGUAAACUCCUUUUGUUAGAGAAGAUAAUGACGGUAUCUAACGAAUAAGCACCUGCUAACUCCGUGCCAGCAGCCGCGGUAAUACGGAGGGUGCAAGCGUUACUCGGAAUCACUGGUCGUAAAGAGCGCGUAGGCGGGAUGGCAAGUCAGAUGUGAAAUCCUAUGGCUUAACCAUAGAACUGCAUUUGAAACUGAUAUUCUUGAGUAUAGGAGAGGUAGGUGGAAUUCUUGGUGUAGGGGUAAAAUGCGUAGAGAUCAGGAGGAAUACUCAUGGCGAAGGCGACCUGCUAGAACAUAACUGACGCUGAGGCGCGAAAGCGUGGGGAGCAAACAGGAUUAGAUACCCCAGUAGUC